CCCAGCCCACAAGUAGGAUUGUGACAUGUGACUCAGGGGUGACUCAGGAAGAGGUGAGCCCUCUGAGAAGAGCAUCUGCAAGCAUCCGUCCGUGAGCCCAGGCUGCAUCCUGCGGAGGAAUCUAUGCUUCAGAGAGAGGUAGCAGGAGGCAGCUUGCAGGGCCCGUGGGCUAGAAGAACUGAAUGUCUGCAAAGAAGCCCCCCAGCCCCCACACCAUAUCAGGGAGCAAGUUCAGGCUGAAAGAGUCCAGAGCAGAGAAUAACCUCAGAGGUGGCCAGAUCUUGGACAUCCUGGAAGAGACUUGUGCAGGGCAGCACCUAUGGUGGGAAGAGAUGCAGGGGAAGAAAGAGGAGUUCGAGACCAGCCUUCCAACACGGUGAAACCUCAUCUCUACAAAAAAUACCAAAAAUUAGCCCGGCAUGGUGGCACAUGUCUGUUGUAAUCCCAGCUACUUAGGAGGCUGGAGCAUGAGAAUCACUGGAACCCGGGAGGUGGAGGUUGCAGUGAGCUCAAAUCAAAGACUCCGUCUC
rnacentral:lncRNA from 1 species